rnacentral:tRNA from 1 species
GCGGGUGUGGCGAAAUGGUAGACGCGCAAGACUUAGAAUCUUGUAACGUGAGUUGUGGGGGUUCAAGUCCCUUCACCCGCA